CUUACCAAGCACGAAAGUCAAGCUCUACACCAUUAAUAUUAGCAUCCCCACACCCCGGAACAGAGAAAAAAAAUCAAGAGAGAUCCCUCUGGACAUUGGUCGGCUCUUCCUCGCCGGCCGUCCGCCGUUCACCGCCCAUCGUUCACCGCCGUGCCCGGUCGCCAUAUUUCCAUCCGAUGGCCGACAGGGAAUCUCGGCCACAUAACACGGCCUGAUUUCAGGAAAAUGCCGAGACCUCUCACAAGAGCCUCUCACCGAUCUCUCUCGUCCACGGCUGCUCUGUCCAUUCGCUCGCUCAACAUCGUUAGCUCGUGCCGUUGCCGUUCUUUGUCGUUCCUCGUUGCAGACCGUCUCCGAUAUCUGCACCGGUCACACCCCUGUUCGGCUCCAUCGCUGGUCCCGUAUCCUCGUGGGUGACAGGGCUUCAUAGCCGUCUCGAGCCCACUUGUUCAUUGGCUGCGAUUAGAGCUUCCAUUUCGUCAAGAAUGGAAAACUGUUAAGAAGCUUGAAGUCCCAUAUGGCAGCUGUGGCAUGUCUCAACUGGGAGGAGGAUACCCAAGUGAAUAGAGCUAUUGGGUUUCUGCUCUGUUCUUGGAAGAUUGAGAGAGCCUAUGAAGAUCUUCCCCUUUCCAGCAAGUUUAAUCCAGGCUAUGGACAUUGCACAAGCCUUAAGUCUCGACAUCACAAGAAAAUUUACUUGGAAGGCCCAGAUGCUUGUCAAACUUUCCUGCAAUAUGAUGUCGUAAAAACAAGUGCGAAAAAAAUGUACAACGUACAUACAAACUUAAAGCAACAUUUACAGAACUAAAUAGCAUGCAUAUAAUGAAUUAUCAAUAUGAUAAAAAGAGAAAGUCA